GCCUGGGUGGCUCAGUCAGUUGAGUGUCUGACUUCAGCUCAGGUCAUGAUCUAACAGCUUGUGAGUUCAAGCCCCACGUCAGGCU
rnacentral:tRNA from 1 species